AGAAAGGCUGCUGCACCAGGAACAAAAUAAGGUGAAUUCUAGACACAUGUGAGGAGCAGGCAGAAGACAGCAUGCUAGAGAGCAGACAUUUCAUUGUAUCUACACCGUAAAAUUGCAACUGUGUAUCCCUCAGAGCUGAGGUGUGCCACCUACGUGAACUGCAAGGCAGCCACAGCCCUGCCCUCUGUGUCCUCAUCCUGGAAGAGGGUUGCUUUGUCCAUCUGGAAAUCUCUUAGAAUUCCAUGUCUGUGGGAGGCAGAGGAGAACGCAGAGCUGGAAGGUGAUAUGCGGCUUCUGCCUGGAGACUCCGCCCCACCCCAGACUUCCUGUGUCUUCUGUGAAGAGGUGAUGAAUCCACUGAGUGGCACUGAAGCUGUGAGUCUGCAAUCAUGGAUACCACUGCAGAAGAGGUUUCCUUGUCCUUCACAGCCAGCAGGAGCAUGGAUCAUAGACUGCCGCAUGAGCUCUAAUGACAGCAAGGGCCAGGGACAUCCAUCUGGCCUCCGGCACCAGCACAUGCCACAGACCUCAGCAUGGUUUCUGGUGAUAGUACAAGCCACUAACAGACAUCAAUUCAGCCUCCAGCUGCAGCAGGACCAUGGACCCCCAGUAUGGCCCUUGUCAGCAGCACAGACCACAGACAUCUGUGUGGCCUUUAGUGGUACCAUAGGCCAUAGACAUUAACAUGGCCCCCAGUGCAGUACAGAGCAUGGCCUCAGGUGGCAGCUCAGGCUAUUCCCAUUUGCAUGGUCCCCAGAGGCACCAUGGCUCAUGGACAUCAACAUGUCAGCCUGCUUUCUUUUAGAAAACCCAGGACCACCUGCCCAGGGAUAACAUCAACCACAAUGGGCUGGGCUAUCCCCGUCAAUCACUACUUAAGAAAAUGCUUACAGGCUUGCCUACAGCUCGAUCUUAUGGAGGCAUUUUCUUAAUUGAGGUUCCCUCCUCUCAGAUGACUUUAGCUUGCAUCAAGUUGACACAAACUAUAUAAUACACUGGCCAUCUCCUCAGCCACAAGCAACAGAGGGCUGUCAUGCUGAGGAAGCACGGUUCAGCUCCAGACCAGCUAGCAAUUCCUCUUCCAGCAGCAAGCUCUUCUGACUUUAGGAAUGCCCAUCAGACCCAGGCUGCCUGUGCACUGACACGAAUGUGUUAUCUGUCUGUCCAUCCCCNNNNNNNNNNNNNNNNNNNNNNNNNNNNNNNNNNNNNNNNNNNNNNNNNNNGCCUGGAAGCCAGUAUUCUGCUAGCAGCCUUCAGAUGAAGAUGUAGAACUCUCAGCUCCUCCUGCACCAUGCCUGCCUGGAUGCUGCCAUGUUCUUGCCUUGAUAUUUAAUGCACUGAACCUCUGAGCCUGUAGGCCAGCCCCAGUUAAAGGUCCUUACAAAAGUUGCCUCGGCCAUGAUGUCUGUAUACAGCAGUAAAACCCUAAGACAAUUAUUAUUAUUAUUAUCCUUUUGAGACAAGGUUUCUCUGUGUAGCCCUGGAUGUCCUAGAACUCACUCUAUAGACCAAGCUGGCCCUGAACUCAGAGAUUCACCUGCCUCUGACUCCCAAGUGCUGGGAUUAAAGAUGUACACAUACC
ensembl:lincRNA Gm14340 predicted gene 14340